rnacentral:rRNA from 1 species
AAACGGGAGAGACCCGAAAGGUCGAAAGGGGGAGACUCAAUCUUGUCCGCGCGUCCGGUGCCGUUUUCGGUCCCAAGGAUGUCGCCGGCCGCCGGCCGCGUCGCAAGGCGCGAGCCGGGACGGAGUCGGUGUCACCGGGGCUGGAGGUCCGGCCGCGGCGAGGUGCACUUCUCCCCCCGAGUAGGACGUCGCGACCCGUUGGACUGAGUCCGGCCUAAGGCCCGGGAUGAGACCGAGGGAACCGCCGCACAACAGUGCGGACCAACGGUUCCCCGGACCCUGGAUGUCCUGGCCGGAGUCCGACGGCAAACCUCGCGGAGAAGGUCCGCUCCCUCGCAGAGUGAGCGUCCGGCCCGGCGGUCAAGCUCGACGCAGGUGCAAGUGGUGCCGUGGCUUCCGCCACGUCCCCGGCCCUCGUCGGCUGCUGGUCCCCGGAGUUCUCGGACUGUGGCCGACUCCCGUCAGCGGCGCUUCUGCUUCGGGUGCUUUCCCGACCC